rnacentral:lncRNA from 1 species
UAUAGAUAAGCCCUUGGGCUCGGAGGUUCGUUGGCAUUUCUCUGGCCUUCGCACAGAAUGACGAUGUUGGAUUCUCUCUAGAGUCCACGAGAUAUGUGCCUUGGACAUUGGAAUCAUCAAUCACAGCAUGCAGGCGUGACGCAGAUUGUCGGCAGGUGUCACCUUGAUGUGUGCAGCGACCCAUGCAGAAAAGUUUGAACAGGCAAUUCGGAUGGAGUCUCAACCAUGAUAAUGCAGAUGUCAUGCCAUUUAGGAUAGAUUGACUGUAUCAGCUUAGUUCUAAAACAUCAAAAAAAAAUUAUUAAUAAUAAAAUAUUUAAAAAAUUUAAAAAAUAUUUAAAAAAUAUUUUAUUAAAAAAAUUGAGCCAUCAAAAAAAAAAAUCUCUUUUUCAUACCUCAUCAAAGAGGAUACCUUUUACUUCGUAAGGACCUGUAUAGACAUGUAUUUAGUUUCACAUCGAUUAUUCAUUGAAAAAAUUUUGGAUAUUUAUACAGGACUAAAAAGCUCAAAUAUUACUUAUCAGCUAGUCAUUUUGGAUGAGAUUCUGGAUUGUUAUUAAAAAUAUUAAAACUGAUCUGAUCCAUAACUU